UUUCCGGUUGAACCUGCCCGAGGCCUUUGCUAACGGAGUCCGAUUUAGCCAUGCUAGUCGAGCGAGUUCAGACUCGCGGCACCGAGCUCAGUAACACGUGGCCAAACUACCCUACAGAGACGGAUACCCUCGGGAAACUGAGGUUAACCCAUCAUACCGAUCUCAGGCUUGAAUCGCAGAGAUCACAAAAUGCCCCGGCGCUGUAGGAUGUGGCUGCGGUUGAUUAGGUAGACGGUGGGGUAAUGGCCCACCGUGCCCAUAAUCAGUACAGGUUGUGAGAGCAAGAACCUGGAGACGGAAUCUGAGACAAGAUUCCGGGCCCUACGGGGCGCAGCAGGCGCGAAACCUUUACACUGCACGCACGUGCGAUAAGGGGACUCCGAGUGCGAGGGCAUAUUGUCCUCGCUUUCGUGUACCGUAGGGUGGUACACCACCAAGAGCUGGGCAAGACCGGUGCCAGCCGCCGCGGUAAUACCGGCAGCCCGAGUGAUGGCCGAUCUUAUUGGGCCUAAAGCGUCCGUAGCUGGCUACGCAAGUCCGUCGGGAAAUCCACUCGCCCAACGAGUGGGCGUCCGACGGAAACUGCAUAGCUUGGGACCGGAAGGCUCGAAGGGUACGUUCGGGGUAGGAGUGAAAUCCUAUAAUCCCGCACGGACCACCGAUGGCGAAAGCACUUCGAGAAAACGGAUCCGACAGUGAGGGACGAAAGCCAGGGUCUCCAACCGGAUUAGAUACCCGGGUAGUCCUGGCCGUAAACAAUGUUCGCUAGGUAUGACACAGACUACGUGUCUCUGUUGUGCCGUAGGGAAGCCGAGAAGCGAACCGCCUGGGAAGUACGUCUGCAAGGAUGAAACUUAAAGGAAUUGGCGGGGGAGCACUACAACCGGAGGAGCCUGCGGUUUAAUUGGAUUCAACGCCGG
rnacentral:rRNA from 1 species